rnacentral:lncRNA from 1 species
AUUUAAUUGAGAGAGAGUGAAAAAGGCACAGUAGCAGAUGCAGCAUGACUGAACAACUUUCAGUUAGUCUUUAGGGGGGAGUGGUUAGGGAACCGAAUGAAAGCACUGUAUUUAACCAAAACACAAAAAAUAUGAGGGAUUACAGCCUCAGCUGACAUCGUACGCUCAAUUCACCAGGUUUGCUUAAGAAACCUGUGUUUGAAAAAAUCUCCUGAUUGCCGUCUCACACUGCAAAUAGUAAACAGCUGAGCCCACACAAUUACAUUUACUCCUCCCUUGCCUUUCAGAUCAAUAAUGGAAUAUUUCCCAUUCCUGCAUGACCAGCUGACCUCUGAUGCCAGCUUUGAACAGCAUCAGCCACAGAUCCAGCUGAUGAAGGAGAAGAGUCCCCAUUAACAGAGCAGCAUCACAGUGAGCCUCAUGGACCUGGUCAGAACAUACCCAAGAUUCACUCUGCAAAGCAAAGAUGGGAAAAUCUCAGGAUGUGCAGCAGCAAAAUGCUGGAUCUGUCAUCAAGAGCCACUAAGAAAAAGCUACCUGAGUGAAGAAUGGAAAUAUCUGCUGUUGGACAGAGGAAGCAUGAUUAAAAUGCACUGAAGCUGAAAUAACAGCUAAACUCUUUCAAGAAUAAUUCUCAUCAACCCAUAUCACAAGUGCUGCAUUUAUAAUGCAGGUAAAGAGUUUAUAAAAUCCAUUUCAUUUCAAGGCACAUGGUAUAACGUGUGGCCAUUACCAUUAAAAAGAUAUCCCCCAGAACAUCUCACAAGAUGAGAGGAGGCAGAAUAGCAUAUCAAUGUAUCUCCAGUAACCAGAAGGUAUUUAGUCCUGCCAGCAGUGCUCCAACAUAACCAUCAUUUCUCUGCUCGCUUGCACAGAAACUCUUGCAACAUCUGCUCAGAAUUUUUUUCCAACAAAAUAGUUUUCCUUGGGAAGUUACUGGCUUUAAAACAGUGAGCUGUUCAUGGAACUGUGACACUUGCAGAUAAUUCCAGGCAAAUUUCUUCUUGACCUCCAGCACAACAGCAGUGAGGGUUACUUAGGUUCCCUGGAUUUUUUGGCUGAACAGCAGAAGGGUUGCUCAAAAGUCAG